rnacentral:lncRNA from 1 species
GCCCACGUCCGCCACCCCGGCGAGUAGUACCGCGCACUCCGUCUCACCUUCUCGGUCACAAACGUGUACCGAAAGUGCUGCGUCACGUACUUCACGUCGCUCGCUUCCAGGCUAAACGCCUCCGUCGUCUCCAGCGUCACCUGUUGAGUAUAAAUGAUUAAAACACCGUUCUUUAAAAUCAUUCACGCACCACCUACAUAACGCGGUGAGCGUAAAAUGAGUUAAAAGCACCGUUCUUUAGCAGCUUACAUAAGUUAUAGAGCAACGGUUGUUUCACGUUACCAGAGUGAAAGAGGAAGCCGGGAGUCGCUCGACGAAGGGGCGGCGGAGACACCAGGAGAGGAGCUCGUCGCCGCUGAAGUUGCCGGGGCCGAGCAUGCAGCAGCUCUUCACGCCAUCCCGGAGGAUUUGGCUGCUCUGCAAAUGGCCU